rnacentral:piRNA from 1 species
UUGUGUGAGCGGAACCAGUCACUG